UGUCUUUAACUCUGCUUUAGGACAAUCCAGUUGAGAAUUACAAUUGGGUUAACAAGAUUUUUAAUGUGGAUUCUCAACCAGUAUGUUGCUGCUCACAUUUCUAACUUUGAAAAUGCACUCCAAUUACUGUUGUUUACUUAAUGUUUCUUUAUCCAAGUUCAUGUUUGGGAUUUUUCAGGACAGACAAACCUAAUAUUAAUGAAUGAAUGUAAUGGACUACAUGACUUCUGCCAUGCAGAUCAAGAGGUAGCAUCAGCUGCCACAUCUGAUCCAUCUACUUUUUUAUUUGACUGGAAUUAAUUUAUAUUUGGAGAUGGUAUUAAUUUAUGUUUUUAUCGUCUUAUAGCAUAGCCUAAUAUUUUCUUGCCAGAUGUACUUAUCCUUUUCAGUGUACAUGUAAAACCUUUUGGAAGUGCAAGUCUAUGCAAUGUCUAACUCCUUAACAUCCAAAAUUGGUGGUACUAAUAAAGAAAAUUAUGGAGAUGUUAGUGAUAUGAAUUCUUAUUCGUAUUACAGAAGCUUUGAAAGAGCUGGUUCUAUGGGAUUAAUAGGAUUGGAGAAUCUCGAAAAUACUUGCUUUAUGAACAAUUCAGUUCAUAAAGGCAAAAUGAUUCUAGCAGAUGAUACAUGCAAAAUCUUGGAAAUACUAGCAGAUGAGUACUGGAACAACCAUCUAGCUCGAAAUGAUUCUGUUAUAGUUGAUACAUGCCAUGUGUAAUAAAAUAAAAGGUAUCAAGGCGCCUAGGAUCACGCCUAAAAACGUCAUCAGGUACGAAAUCUGGAGCCUGAAGCUUGGUUCAAGGGGUUGUUGGUAGAUUUAGCAGCUAUACUGAUAUCUUUUGUUUUAUUACACCUAAAGCUUGGUACUGGUCUGAGUAUCUUUAUCUCAAAAAGGAAUCCCUCACUGGUAGUCACCUUGCUUCUACUGCCGAUUGUUUGUGGAUAAGUUUUUAUGCUAAUUUUGUUAUUAUGUAGCUGUUAUCUCAGAUGUGAAAUGCGACAACCCAAAAGAGGAGGGCAAGGUGCAGCAAACUAAAAGAUGUGAAAUGUGAUGAACCAAAGCAGGAGUAAGUUGCCAAUAAAAUUGGGGAACCGGAGGAGUGUGACGAAUGUGAAAUUUAUUUUUUGCACUCUAUAUGCUAUCUUAAAAGUUUCAAAGUUCCUUGUUUGCGCGUAAUUCGAAAUUUACUGUAGCCAUUGUUCCUGAACAGUCCUUGAUUUUAUUUCUUGAAUGUGCACCUGAUUCGUCUAAUGUAAUCAUGGAACCACAUGUUGUGGAGCUGUUUUGGUUAAGAGAUACAAUGAUCCUAAGGCGGAUGUUUUG